rnacentral:rRNA from 1 species
GGCCUAACACAUGCAAGUCGAGCGGUAGCACAGAGAGCUUGCUCUCGGGUGACGAGCGGCGGACGGGUGAGUAAUGUCUGGGAAACUGCCUGAUGGAGGGGGAUAACUACUGGAAACGGUAGCUAAUACCGCAUAACGUCGCAAGACCAAAGUGGGGGACCUUCGGGCCUCAUGCCAUCAGAUGUGCCCAGAUGGGAUUAGCUAGUAGGUGGGGUAACGGCUCACCUAGGCGACGAUCCCUAGCUGGUCUGAGAGGAUGACCAGCCACACUGGAACUGAGACACGGUCCAGACUCCUACGGGAGGCAGCAGUGGGGAAUAUUGCACAAUGGGCGCAAGCCUGAUGCAGCCAUGCCGCGUGUGUGAAGAAGGCCUUCGGGUUGUAAAGCACUUUCAGCGGGGAGGAAGGCGUUAAGGUUAAUAACCUUGGCGAUUGACGUUACCCGCAGAAGAAGCACCGGCUAACUCCGUGCCAGCAGCCGCGGUAAUACGGAGGGUGCAAGCGUUAAUCGGAAUUACUGGGCGUAAAGCGCACGCAGGCGGUCUGUCAAGUCGGAUGUGAAAUCCCCGGGCUCAACCUGGGAACUGCAUUCGAAACUGGCAGGCUAGAGUCUUGUAU